UGCGGUGCAUUAGCUAGUUGGUAAGGUAACGGCUUACCAAGGCAAUGAUGCAUAGCCGAGUUGAGAGACUGAUCGGCCACAUUGGGACUGAGACACGGCCCAAACUCCUACGGGAGGCAGCAGUAGGGAAUCUUCCACAAUGGACGCAAGUCUGAUGGAGCAACGCCGCGUGAGUGAAGAAGGGUUUCGGCUCGUAAAGCUCUGUUGGUAGUGAAGAAAGAUAGAGGUAGUAACUGGCCUUUAUUUGACGGUAAUUACCUAGAAAGUCACGGCUAACUACGUGCCAGCAGCCGCGGUAAUACGUAGGUGGCAAGCGUUGUCCGGAUUUAUUGGGCGUAAAGCGAGUGCAGGCGGUUCAAUAAGUCUGAUGUGAAAGCCUUCGGCUCAACCGGAGAAUUGCAUCAGAAACUGUUGAACUUGAGUGCAGAAGAGGAGAGUGGAACUCCAUGUGUAGCGGUGGAAUGCGUAGAUAUAUGGAAGAACACCAGUGGCGAAGGCGGCUCUCUGGUCUGCAACUGACGCUGAGGCUCGAAAGCAUGGGUAGCGAACAGGAUUAGAUACCCUGGUAGUCCAUGCCGUAAACGAUGAGUGCUAAGUGUUGGGAGGUUUCCGCCUCUCA
rnacentral:rRNA from 1 species